UACGGGGGGGGCAAGCGUUGUUCGGAAUUACUGGGCGUAAAGGGCUCGUAGGUGGCCAACUAAGUCAGACGUGAAAUCCCUCGGCUUAACCGGGGAACUGCGUCUGAUACUGGAUGGCUUGAGUUUGGGAGAGGGAUGCGGAAUUCCAGGUGUAGCGGUGAAAUGCGUAGAUAUCUGGAGGAACACCGGUGGCGAAGGCGGCAUCCUGGGUCGGAAUUGACGCUGAGGGGCGAAAGCCAGGGGAGCAAACGGG
rnacentral:rRNA from 1 species